UUCCUUCCUCUCCCCCAUGCAGAAUUUCAUCCAGAAUUUGGCAUUAAUUCUAUCCAACUUCAUACAAACAGCUUUCAGGGAAUAUGAAGCAAGAGAUAAGGACAGGACCGGCUUGAUAAGGAUUGAAUGCCCUGACAAAGAGCGAAGGAUAGUGUUCCAACUAUACUCUGGCUGAACCUCAGAUUCGGAAGAUUUUCGAACAUCUGGGUCAUCGUUGAGUUCACAUUUGAGCUCUUUGAAUUUUCUGUGGCAAAUAUUGUCACUUUCUCCCAUCUUUUCUACUUUUUAAGAAGGCAUUGAAGAACUUUGAUCCACCAUGGGCUUUCCGCAACCAUUUAACUUAAGGAAAAACGUUUGAAGCCAGAGAUUUCUAUAUAGGUUGAAACCAGCAUGGAAUGAUGGGUGGAAUAUAGGGAAGGUAUGGAACGAUUCAGAGGAUUUGCACAACACAAUUCUGGAUAGCACUACAACAACAUGGCCUUGGAGCGUAGUCCCUCUUUUUCUCGAUGUUCAUAAUUUUGUAUCUAUACCAGCCUACAUGCUCAGGCCUACAAAUGAAGUCCUCCUCAUGCAACUUGUUGCUACUAAUAUCAUUAACAAACUCUCACACAUAGACAUCACGAAUAAGAACAUUGAUGUACUUAGCUACAUAUGUAAUUAUUGAUUAUAUGAUUACCCA